rnacentral:lncRNA from 1 species
CUCCACCCUUACCUCGACCCCAAAUUUCAAUCCCCACAACGUCCCCAAUUUGUUUCUCUCUACCCUCUCUCUAUUAACCACACACCAUACCCACCACCACUUGCCUACCACACAAGCCAAGUCAUCAUCGCCACGUCCACGACAUACAGUGCGGCAAAAACGUUGCACGUGGUGGCGAACAAACAAGCGGUGAAUCGUGCUAUGAAAACAUCGCUAUAAGGUGUCGCUGCUACUGCCAGCAGCGACGCCUUGCUUCGUUAUUGCAACUACAGCGAUGAGCUGCUCGUUGCUUUGUCGAUGGUCGUUGUCAUAAGAAAUGUUCGACUUCGCAUUUCUGUUGAAUGAUUUCCUAUUGACGGUAUUGAAGGGUAAGCUGUUCUCGCUCAACUGUUGUCUUCAUCUCUACUCGCCAAAUUGAACUCAAAGUUGAGAAUUCAGGGUUUGGGUUGAUAAAUUCGUGUAAUAGUGAAAGAAAAAUAUUUGAAAUUGAUUUAGUGGCUGGUUGUUUCAUCAUAUCAGUUGUUUGAUGUGGUGGUGUAGGCAUUUGUUUGAUUAGAUAUGGUGGGUGGUUGUUUCAUCACAUCUGUUAUUUAGCCAAGAUUUUGGAAUGGAUGUUGGUGUUUUGCAAAUGUUGAUAGUGAUUUCCUUAUCUAUGGGGUGGUUCUAUUGUUAUUGUUGUUGGUUCUGUUGGUGGUGCGGUAGGCGGCGAUAGUUUUUGUUGCUGAUGGUGCAGGUGGUCAUGAUGAGAUGGCUCGCGUUUGGUUCUUUUUUUUUUUUUUUAACGAGGUGUCCCAACUUGCGCCAGACUAUAUAUCCUCGUCCCUGAACCUCCGGCCUCUCUGCUGCUCAGGGAGGUAAAUCGCAGGAUGUGCCCUUGUUGGUUCCCAGGUUCCCACAUGGCUUUUACUCCUUUCCCAAAGGAAGCCUCCUCCAUGGUGAUUAAUCCACCAAUAAUUCCUCCUUUAUUGGAUCAAAGGUUCCCACAAAGAAUCGAACUCCCCACGCUUGGUUCCAGAGCCCUCCAAUGUGAUUGUUCCGCCAACUUGGAUGUGCCCUGGGGGACACAAACUAGACUCGCGUUUGGUUCUCGACAUUAUUGCGAGUGGUCGUGGUGACGGCAAUAGGGUAUAACCAAGCCUAUCUUCAUUGUAACUGUUUGUAACCAAAUUUAUGCUAAUUGUAACUAUGUGUGACUUGGUUACAUAAGUUACAAAUUAGACUGACAUGAUAUAGAUCGUCACGCUAAAGAAAAAUUUAAUCACAGUUAGUCAUAGAUAACACGGGUCGGUGAAAGGUAAUAUGUAUGAUCGUGGAUUUGAGUUGAAGGUGGUACUAAUGGUGCGUUGAAGGUGAUGGUGGUUGUAACUUUGGUACCGGUAUGCGGUUUGUAUAUAUUUGUUUGUGGUGAUCAUAUGUGACCAAGUAUAUGUUUAAUGUGAUUGGGUG